UACGUAGGGUGCGAGCGUUAAUCGGAAUUACUGGGCGUAAAGCGUGCGCAGGCGGUUAUUUAAGUCAGGUGUGAAAGCCCUGGGCUUAACCUAGGAAUUGCGCUUGAGACUGGAUAGCUUGGAGUGCGGCAGAGGGAGGUGGAAUUCCACGUGUAGCAGUGAAAUGCGUAGAGAUGUGGAGGAACACCGAUGGCGAAGGCAAUCCCCUGGGCCUGUACUGACGCUCAUGCACGAAAGCGUGGGGAGCAAACAGG
rnacentral:rRNA from 2 species